AUUUCAUUUCUCCGUCAACUCAUGUACCUCAACUUGAGUUGACCAACAAUUAAACAAGACGACCUGCUCCACCUGCUGAUCUACUGGUUGUAACAGAUUGUGGAAAAGCAUCACCAGCAGCACUGGACCAAUCAGGAGAGAGAAGACACAGAGGACUGAAGGGACUCAGAAAAUCCUGCUGGAAAUCCCAAGAUGAAGUUUCCUGAUGCAACAGGGGGACACCUGAGGACACAGAAUAAAGAAGGACCAUGUGAAGCAGGUCCUUCAAUAACAAACCAAGCAUGAGUUGACCAACACUUACAGCAGGUUACUUUGUCCAUCUACUGAUCUACUGGUUGUAACAGAUGAUGGUGAAGGUUGAGGAGAUAAUGACUUGAUCAGAAACUGUGGCCGACAACUGCAAACGCGCAGCAAACAGCAAAACGAGCUGCAAACAGACUCAUGAAGAGGACGGUCAGAGUCGUCCAUAGCUUUCUUGACUCUUCUGAAGAAUCUUUCUUUGCGUCAUCUCCAGAGGUUCCACAGUCAUCUCCAGAACAGAACCAGAACCAAUCCAGCCUUCUUUAUCAGAUUGUUGAGCCUUUUGAGGUUCCUGGCUCUGAUGCUGCUGCACCAACAGAUGAUAGCAGAAGAGAUGACACUCUCAGCAGCAGACUUAAAGAUCUGCAGCAACUUGCUGCAAACCUUGAAGGAUCUUAGCUUCCUGGAGAAGUGCAGUCUGCUCUGUCUCUUUUUGUAGACGGCUUGUCCAUGUGGUUCCUGCCUUCUGUUGCGUCUCCAGUCCAGUCUGUGUUCCAGAUGAACACCGAGUCAAGAUUAGAUGAUUGUUCCCUCACCAGGCCACAAAGUGAUCCACCAGAUAUCUGUACUCAGCCUCUUGUCUUCCUCUGAUACACAACAACUGCAGAGUCGUCUGAGUAUUUCUGUAGAUGACAGAAGUCGGACUUGUGCUGGAAGUCUGAACAGUAGAGGGUGAAAAUGAACGGUGAGAGUACAGUGCCCUGUGGUGUUCCCAUGUUGUUGACCACCUGGUUAGACACACAGUCCUUCAGUCUCACUAACUGUGGUCUGUUUGUCAGGUAGUCACAGAUGCAGGUGAUUGUUGAGGCCUCCACCUGUGUCUUCUGGAGUUUCUAACAGAGCAGAUCAGGCUGAUUUGUGUUCAAUGCACCUGGGAACCAAAGACCCUGAUCCUCACUGUGCUGCCUGCUUUGUCCAGAUGACAGUGGGUUUGUUGAAGCAGGUGUCUGAUCAACUCCAACUCCAUGACGAUAAGCAAACUGCAGGGGGUCCUGAUAUGUGAUCGUCUGCUUACUCAAGUGGGCCACCAGGAGUCUCUCCAGGACCUUCAGGAUGUGGGACGUCAGGGCAACAGGUCUACAGUCAUUAUGACUGAUGGGUGACUUUUCUUCGGUACCGGAACCAGACAGGAUGUCUUCCACAACAACGGAACCUCCUCUUGGGUCAGGCAAAGGUUGAAGAGAUGCUGCAGAAUCCCACAGAGGGAAUCUGGGACUGACAGCAUCUGGACCUGCAGCCUCGUUCCUGUUCAGUCUCUCCGGCUGCUUCUUCACCUGACUUCUAGAUACAGAAAAGUUGGAGGUGGAGGCAAAGGGAGCAGCAGCGUCUCCUGAUGUGGUUAAAGACAAACUUGUGGAAGCAAAAGAGUCCAUGACUGAGGUGGAAGAUGGAACAUCUGAGGUUUGACAGGAAAGCUGUGGGUCAGAGGAGGAUGAGAAAUCUGUCUGGCUGCAGACAGGAGAGGAAGAUGAUGAGCUUGUUCCUGGACUGAACCUGUUGAAGAAUGUGUUCAGCUCAUUUCCUCUGUCCAGAAACUAAUAUUGUUAAAAAAAAGUCAUGGUAGCAUGUUUUUAUGUAAUAAUGUGUAUGUAAUGUGUGGAAUGAAGAAGAUAUGCUGCAUAAUCUGAUGGAAUUACAAAAGAUCAUUGUGGCUCCUGCUCAGUGCAAAAACACACAUUUUGUUGGUUUCUGAAGAGUAAAAAUUGAACAAAUGUGUACAUUUAAAGAUUAAAUUUAUAUUUCACAGUCAUCACAAUGCUAAAGAAAAGUCUCACAACAGGGUGAAAAUUAUGGUGUUUAUUUACAAGACAGGAAGCAGGAGGAAGAUAUUAAAGAAUGUCAAAUAUUUUGCAGCGUCAGGUUAUUUCUAUGUAUUAUGAUGUAAUAUAAUAGAUGUAUUUUCAGCUUAUUGUGUUCUGUUUUAUUUUGUGUGUAACUUUCACUUGAUUUGUGAAAGCAUGAGGAAGAUAUUAAAUUUUUUGUAUAUA